rnacentral:miRNA from 1 species
CUCACUCUCAGUCCCUCCCU